GCAGGAAUGGCGGAAUUGGCAGACGCGCAGGCUUCAGGUGCCUGUUCUAUUCGGUUAGAGUGAGGGUUCAAGUCCCUUUUCCUGCA
rnacentral:tRNA from 1 species